CACAGGACUGGGAUCUGUUAGCACUCAUCACUGUCUGAGAUCUGCUGUAAAGCACAUCCUAGGAAAAUGUUAUUGAAGCCACGGAAGGAGGGCUGGAAGUUCUGGCUCAGCAUGGGCUCCAACAGAAAUGGAAGCAUCUGCUGAGGCUGGACAAGAAUGCUUACCCUGAAGAGGCGUUGUUGUGAGGACCAAAUAAAAUAACAUUCACAAUGCACUGGAAC
rnacentral:lncRNA from 10 species